rnacentral:rRNA from 1 species
UACGUAGGGUGCGAGCGUUAAUCGGAAUUACUGGGCGUAAAGCGUGCGCAGGCGGUUGUGCAAGACAGAUGUGAAAUCCCCCGGGCUCAACCUGGGAAUUGCAUUUGUGACUGCACGGCUAGAGUGUGUCAGAGGGGGGUAGAAUUCCACGUGUAGCAGUGAAAAUGCGUAGAGAUGUGGAGGAAUACCGAUGGCGAAGGCA